GGCCGCGGGAAUUCGAUUAGAGUUUGAUCCUGGCUCAGGACGAACGCUGGCGGCGUGCUUAACACAUGCAAGUCGAGCGGUAUGGCCCUUUCGGGGGUACACGAGCGGCGAACGGGUGAGUAACACGUGGGCGACCUGCCCUCAGCUCUGGGAUAAGCCUGGGAAACUGGGUCUAAUACCGGAUAUGACCACAUGUCGCAUGGUGUGUGGUGGAAAGUUUUUUCGGCUGGGGAUGGGCCCGCGGCCUAUCAGCUUGUUGGUGGGGUGAUGGCCUACCAAGGCGACGACGGGUAGCCGGCCUGAGAGGGCGACCGGCCACACUGGGACUGAGAUACGGCCCAGACUCCUACGGGAGGCAGCAGUGGGGAAUAUUGCGCAAUGGGCGAAACCCUGACGCAGCAACGCCGCGUGGAGGAUGAAGUCCCUUGGGAUGUAAACUCCUUUCGACCGGGACGAUACUGACGGUACCGGAAGAAGAAGCACCGGCUAACUCUGUGCCAGCAGCCGCGGUAAUACAGAGGGUGCGAGCGUUGUUCGGAAUUAUUGGGCGUAAAGGGCGCGUANGCGGUGCGGUAAGUCACCUGUGAAAUCUCCUGGCUCAACUGGGAGCUUGCAGGCNAAACUGCCGUGCUGGAAUGUGGGAAAAGUGCGUGGAAUUCCCGGUGCAGCGGUGAAAUGCGUAAAUAUUCGGAGGAACACCUGUGGCGAAAGCGGCGCACUGGACCACAACUGACGCUGAGGGCGCGAAGCUAGGGGAGCAAACAGGAUUAGAUACCCUGGUAGUCCUAGCCUAAACUAUGGAUGCUUUGGUGUAGGGGGUACCCAAUCCACUGGGCCGCACCUAACGCGUUAAGCUCCCCCCCUGC
rnacentral:rRNA from 1 species